AAGGUUGGUUUUUCAGACGCAGGGGGUUGCAAAACCCACGAGAGGAGGAAGAAACUGGAGCAGGACCAACUGCAGGCGCUGCACGAAAGGGUAAUGGGGCUAGAGGAUCGAGAAGAGGAACGAGAAGCAGCAGAUCGCAGGAAACGACCUGCCGAAGCUUCCCCCGAAGCUACCCCGCCAUCUCAGCGGAGAAGCAACGUGGCUUCCACCGAGCUGCUUCAGCCGGAGCAUGUCUUGACGGCUCCUGCCAGCUAUCCCGUGGAUGGUAUCACGGAGUCUCAAAAUUGCCACAUUAUGGCGCGAUGGAUGAAUUUGAAGGUCAAGGCGGCU
rnacentral:rRNA from 1 species